CGACCGGCGCACGGGUGAGUAACGCGUAUCCAACCUGCCCACCACUUGGGGAGUAACCUUGCGAAAGUAAGACUAAUACCCAAUGAUAUCUCUAGAAGACAUCUGAAAGAGAUUAAAGAUUUAUCGGUGAUGGAUGGGGAUGCGUCUGAUUAGCUUGUUGGCGGGGUAACGGCCCACCAAGGCGACGAUCAGUAGGGGUUCUGAGAGGAAGGUCCCCCACAUUGGAACUGAGACACGGUCCAA
rnacentral:rRNA from 1 species